GAAAACAUUGCAGUCAACCCCAGGGCAUAUAAAAUUCUUAAAAAGAUUCAACAAAAAGAAGAAGUUGUUCAAAGUGGAAGACCGGGGAUCUACAGGUAAGAAAGCAUUUACUGAAGGGUGUAGAUGACCGAGUCAAGCUAGUGACGUUAAAGAAGCGCUUGCUAGGAAGCAACCAAGUGUUUUGAUGUAUUUUUCGUCCAUAUAGAGGGUAAGAAAGGUGACUCAUUAUUCCAUUUUCUUUAUUUCAAAAAAAAAAAAAGGAAUUCGACGCCCGGGCGGUGGAAUUGGUUGCCAGGGCGACGACGAAGCAGUUUUAAAAAUUGGAUCUGUAGCUCAAGCGAGCCCAACCCAAAUACACUCCUUUUUAUUCCAAGGGUCUCACCUGAGCCUCCACACUCAGCUUUCCUCUCCAACAACCCUCCAAACACCUCCCCUAAUUACUCUCUCCAAUUUUCCCCCUUUCCUAAACCCAUCAAAGACUAGGCCUCCACUCUUGGGCAGAAAAAUCAAAAGCCUCAAAGGGAGUUACUCUCACUUCAUCCUCAAUUUAUUCUAUGCUCCCAUCAUGGGUAAGUAUUGCAAAUCUAUGCUUUCAUUGAUGAAAACCUUUACCAAAAAGUUGCAUGUUCUUUAAAGGGGUUACAAAUUAUUGAUGAAAUUGAUCGGUUUUAAAGAGGAAUUUAACCCCAAACCGAUGUUGCCAUGAUCCUAAAUUGAUUGAUUGGUUGAAACCCUCCAAAAAUGGGCUGAAAUAGCAAAGGUGGUCGCGCGAUGCCCGGGCGGUGGGAUUGGUUGCUCGGGCGACCGACGCUGCAGCAAGCCCUCCCAAUUUUUUUUGCUUCCUCUGAUUUUUACCAUGCAGAGCUGUUAUUCUUUCCAUCUGAAAAAGGGAGAGGCUGAGCUACGAAAUUCUUGACUAAUACCCGACGUUUGUUGGCUUUGUUUGUGAUUCUUUAUUCACAAGAAUGACGUUAGGCUCUAGGAGACCAAGGACUGCAGGUAGCAAAAGAAAGGAGAUUGAGCAGUUAUAUUCCCACCAGUUCAAGACACCGGCCCAUGCAAGAUAUUUCUCAAUAGUUGAGGGGAAGAAGCUGCUCAUGGAAUGCAAGGUGAGGCUGAUCACAGCCUCAGCCCCUCAGUUUGGAAGGGAGAUCACCAACAGAGGAUGGCUGAACCUAACCACCUACCCUGCCUCAGCCAACCCUGCCAUUGUGAAAGAAUUCUACACUAAUGCUAGGGCGUUGGGUGGUGAACCAGAGACAUACUCCAGCUAUUUGAGGGGCCGAAGGAUCCCCUUUGAUGCCAACACUAUCAACACCUUUUUGGGCACUGAUUGGGAAGGAGGAAGGUGCCAAUAUGAGCAGACCAUAAUUGAGGGAGUUGAUUAUGAGGAUGUGGUGAGGACUCUAUGCCUACCUAGGGAACGCUUUGAGCUGAGUAGAGUUGGAGUACCGACCCACCUCAAGAGGUCAUUCUUGAUUCCAAUGGCUAGGUAUUGGAUGACUUUCACCCAGGCCAACAUCCUCCCCUGCUUGCAUGUGUCUGACAUCACCAGCCUGGGGGCUACAUUCCUGUUCUGUGUCAUGAGUGGACGUGGUGUCAACAUAGGAUCAGUCAUUGCUGAUGAGAUUAGGAGCUGCACCCGCAACUUGCAUACUAGAACCCCAUUGGGGCACCCCUCCUGAUCACUCAUCUGUGUGAGAUGAUGGGUGUAGAUGUGUCUAAACCACCUCUAGAGAGCCCGAGAAAGGAGUUGGACGAUUCUUACUUUGCCUACCACUAUGCGAUUGAGGAACAGGGCCCAACCAUGAUCCCACAACAGGAGCCAGGGGCUCAUAGGGGACCACCACCACCAGCCCAUAAGGCCACCCCAUUUCAGAUGAGGGACAUGUAUAUGUCCCUAAUGGAGGCACGAAUGACAUUCCUCUACAGAGGGGAGCAGGAGUUGCUGAGGACACUGACAUCCGCUUUUCUUGAGAGACACUUUAUCUCACAGGAGGAGUUUGCAGCCAGAGUGGCAUGGCCCGCUGACCCAACAUAGGGAGGUGGCGGCGAUGGAGCUGCUGGGACCUCAGCCAUGGGAUAUGACUCAGAGGAAGAUUAUUAAUGAGAUGUACUUGGCAUCUACUGAUGGAUGCCACCUUUAGAAUAGGAUUUCUUUUGAAUAUGUUAUUUCUGCACUUUAAUUGUUGUAGCUUGUCUAGACUUCUACUUCUAAUUUUUGUCUUUAUUUUAAUUAAUGUGUGCUUUCUUUUAUUUUAAUUUCUAUGUGCUCUACUUGAAUGAAUUGAUCUGCUUUGACUCAACUGUGCUCUGUUUUGUGUGAUAAGUUUACUUUUUGAAACAUUUUGUGUUUGAUUGAGGUUGAGAUGAUGCACGAUGAUAAAUUUGUGAGGCAGGUGCUUGAGAUAAAGUUUGAUUGAGAUACUGAGUAGGUUGUUUUUCUGAAUUGGGAACUUGUGAGCUCACCUGUUUGAGUUUUGAGCUUCAGAUUUGUUUGUAAAUAAUGGUUGUUACUUUGGAAGCAUGAAUGAUUUUGCCCAAAUUUUCUGAUUGAACUACUUGCUUGCAGGUUCCAUAUGAUCAAGGCCAUCUUUAGUUAUCCCUUAUUCUUUUGGCCUUCAAAAUAUUUUUGCCCACUAAAAAGAGAACAAUUUGUUCUAACCUUUGAACCUUGAGCCUGAUAUGUCUUAAAAAACCUUUUCGAAAAAAUCUUUACCUUGAGUUAAGUUGAGAACAUUUGGUGAGGUACUGAUAAAGGUUCAUGUUUGGGGUUACCAAGACACAAACCACCUCUCUUGGCAGUGAGCAAUCAAAAAGAAAAGCAAGAAAAAGGCAAAAGAAAAGAAAAAGUGAGAAAGGAAAAAUUCAAAAAGAAAAGGAAAGAGCUCACUGCAAGGAAAGGCUGGGAAGAAGAUAAGAGAGCUGCUAUUGAAAGAUGAAUUCAUAAAUGUCUCUCUUAACUCAAGGAACUUUGCUGACCAUAAAAACCAAUUUACUUCUUAGCCUAGCCAAGAUACAAGCCAUGAAAAGCCCUUGUGAUGACAACCUGUUUAUGAGUAUGUUUGAUUGUGGUUAAAUGAAAGGCAAAAUUAAUUUGUGUGACAUUGUGACAAUAGAGAGAACCACCACAGCAUACACUUGAGAGUUGAGUGAGACACUUUUGAAUGCUUGAGUGCUUGAGUGAAACACUUUCCCUGGUGAGAAUUAGUUCUCUGAAUUUCUGAUUGCAUCUCUACUUGGUUGAUCGAUCACUCUUAAGGAUAGCAUAUGCUGAAAAUGCAUUAAAACAUCUACACAUCUUGACUAAAGUCCUAUGCUGAAAUUGAUAACAGUGAUUCUUUGUCUUGAAAAAGUUUUUGAAAAAGGUUGAGUCAUUGUAGUGAUUAUUCUGAAAAGUUGAGUUGCAUUGUGUUUGCUUGAGGACAAGCAAAGUUCUAAGUUUGGGGUUGUGAUAACAGAUUGAAAUACCGUUAUUUGCUAUAUGAUUUUAAUACUAAAAGCACCCUUUUUCACUUAGAAACUUGCUUGAACUCAUGAGUUUUUAGUAAAUUUUUUUGAAUAAGAGAGUUGAGGUUGAUUUUAAUAGUUUUCUUAAAAAUUCCCCUCGUUUUGACAGAGAUUGAAGCAACACUGGAAGAAGAAGUGAAAAGCCAUGAAGAUGGAGCUCAAAAGGGGUAAAAAAGGCACCAAGAAGGGAGAAAACCCAAAGCCUAGGCGAAGACCAGGAAACAGGAAUGCAAAACAGCUAAGCUAAAAAUGACGCUAGUCACCCAGGCGACGGACCCGACGCUCGGGCGAUGGACGCCCGAAGCUCAGGCGUCCAAAACUGGAGCCCAAGCCUCACAAAAUCCUUGAUUAAUGGUUGGGCGAGCUCCCUGCGACGCUUGAGCGUGAUUUCACGUGGAUCGGGCCCUAAUUUUGCUCUGAUUUGAUUCUUUUGGACCGGGCCGCACUUUGGGACGCUUCUGGCGCUAUUUAAAGGACCCUGGGCUCUAGCUUUUGUAUCCCUGGCAGAAGAGAGCAUAGCAAUACACUCUUAGGCAAUUCUCAGUCUUCCAUUCUCUUCUUUUCUUCCAUUAUUCAUAGAGUUCCCCCAUGUCUAUGGGGAACAAAUUUCUAUUUGUUGUUGGAGAAUGAUGUAACGUUGUGAACUCUCAUGUGUUUGAAUUGAUUCUUAAUUCUAUAUGCUUUAUUUCAUUAUUUGUUAGAGUAAUUCAUCUGCUUUAUUCUUGCUCAAACAAUAGCAUUAUUUGUGAGUUGCAUGAGUGCCGG
rnacentral:lncRNA from 1 species